CCGACGGUGAGAGGCGAAAGCUGGGGGAGCAAACCGGAUUAGAUACCCGGGUAGUCCCAGCCGUAAACGAUGUGCGUUAGGUGUAUCGGUGACCACGAGUCACCGAGGUGCCGAAGAGAAAUCGUGAAACGUACCGCCUGGGAAGUACGGUCGCAAGGCUGAAACUUAAAGGAAUUGGCGGGGGAGCACCACAACAGGUGGAGCCUGCGGUUUAAUCGGACUCAACGCCGGGAAACUCACCAGAUAAGACAGCUGAAUGAUAGUCGGGCUGAAGACUCUACUUGACUAGCUGAGAGGAGGUGCAUGGCCGUCGUCAGUUCGUACUGUGAAGCAUCCUGUUAAGUCAGGCAGCGAGCGAGACCCAGCCAACAGUUGCUA
rnacentral:rRNA from 1 species